AUUGAACGCUGGCGGCAUGCCUUACACAUGCAAGUCGAACGGCAGCAUGGAAGAGCUUGCUCUUCUGAUGGCGAGUGGCGAACGGGUGAGUAAAGCAUCGGAACGUACCGUGUAGUGGGGGAUAACGUAGCGAAAGUUACGCUAAUACCGCAUACGCACUGAGGUGGAAAGCAGGGGAUCGCAAGACCUUGCGCUAUACGAGCGGCCGAUGUCAGAUUAGCUAGUUGGUGAGGUAAAGGCUCACCAAGGCGACGAUCUGUAGCGGGUCUGAGAGGAUGAUCCGCCACACUGGGACUGAGACACGGCCCAGACUCCUACGGGAGGCAGCAGUGGGGAAUUUUGGACAAUGGGGGAAACCCUGAUCCAGCCAUGCCGCGUGAGUGAAGAAGGCCUUCGGGUUGUAAAGCUCUUUCGGCUGGGAAGAAAUCGCACAGGCUAAUACUCUGUGUGGAUGACGGUACCAGCAUAAGAAGCACCGGCUAACUUCGUGCCAGCAGCCGCAGUAAUAC
rnacentral:rRNA from 1 species